rnacentral:rRNA from 1 species
GAUGAACGCUGGCGGCGUGCCUAAUACAUGCAAGUCGAGCGAACGGACGAGAAGCUUGCUUCUCUGAUGUUAGCGGCGGACGGGUGAGUAACACGUGGAUAACCUACCUAUAAGACUGGGAUAACUUCGGGAAACCGGAGCUAAUACCGGAUAAUAUUUUGAACCGCAUGGUUCAAAAGUGAAAGACGGUCUUGCUGUCACUUAUAGAUGGAUCCGCGCUGCAUUAGCUAGUUGGUAAGGUAACGGCUUACCAAGGCAACGAUGCAUAGCCGACCUGAGAGGGUGAUCGGCCACACUGGAACUGAGACACGGUCCAGACUCCUACGGGAGGCAGCAGUAGGGAAUCUUGCGCAAUGGGCGAAAGCCUGACGGAGCAACGCCGCGUGAGUGAUGAAGGUCUUCGGAUCGUAAAACUCUGUUAUUAGGGAAGAACAUAUGUGUGAGUAACUGUGCACAUCUUGACGGUACCUAAUCAGAAAGCCACGGCUAACUACGUG